AAGUCGUAACAAGGUUUCCGUAGGUGAACCUGCGGAAGGAUCAUUAUCACGUUAAUCCACGUAUCAACCAUCUGUGAACCGUACCUCAACCUCUGGUGUUUCCUUGUGCUCCUCUUUUUCCUUUCUCUCUCUUCCUCUCACAGGGAGGUUGCGGAAGAAGAAGAAGAGUGCAAGGGAGGAUCCGAGCGUAUUUUACUUUUUUUUUUUCUUCAAAAAAAAAACCAUUAACCACUCUAACCAAAACCUUAUAACUUCAUGAACUAAUCUUUUUUUCAUACUCUUCGGAGAUGAAAUUCAUUACGAAACAAAGAACAACUCUUAGCAACGGAUAUCUUGGUUCUC
rnacentral:misc_RNA from 1 species